rnacentral:rRNA from 1 species
UGCCAGCCGCCGCGGUAAUACGUAGGUGCCAAACGUUGUCCGGAUUUACUGGGCGUAAAGGGCGCGCAGGCGGAUUAAAAAGUCAUCAAUGAAAGUCCAUGGCUUAACUGUAGGAUGUUGGUGAAACUGUUAAUCUUGAGGUUUCUAGAGGAGAGUGGAAUUAUCGGUGUAGUGGUGGAAUGCGUAGAUAUCGAUAGGAACACCAGUGGCGAAAGCGGCUCUCUGGGGAACACCUGACGCUGAGGCGCGAAAGCAUGGGUAGCAAACCGGAUUAGAUA